GAAGUUAUAGCUCAGUUGUAGAGUGCUGUGCCUAGCACACAUGAGGUCCUGGGUUCAAUCCCUAGUACCUCCA
rnacentral:tRNA from 1 species